CAGAGGUCUCAAGCGUUGUUCGGAUUCAUUGGGCGUAAAGGGUGCGUAGGUGGCGCGGUAAGUCGGGUGUGAAAUCUCGGAGCUCAACUCCGAAAUUGCAUUCGAUACUGCCGUGCUCGAGGACUGGAGAGGAGACUGGAAUUCAUGGUGUAGCAGUGAAAUGCGUAGAGAUCAUGAGGAAGACCAGUGGCGAAGGCGGGUCUCUGGACAGUUCCUGACACUGAGGCACGAAGGCCAGGGGAGCAAACGGGAUUAGAUACCCCGGUAGUCCUGGCAGUAAACGGUGCACGUUUGGUGUGGGAGGAUUCGACCCCUUCCGCGCCGGAGCUAACGCGUUAAACGUGCCGCCUGGGGAGUACGGUCGCAAGACUA
rnacentral:rRNA from 1 species